CAACUAAAUAAAUCCAAUUGCAUGGAUUUGUGAAAUAUUGCCUCGAAAUGUGAAAUACGCCUUCGGCGUGUGAAAUG
rnacentral:sRNA from 1 species